rnacentral:rRNA from 1 species
AACGCGAAGAACCUUACCUGGGCUCGAAAUGUACACGACCGGGGUGGAAACAUCCCUUCCCAGCAAUGGGCGUGUAUAUAGGUGCUGCAUGGCUGUCGUCAGCUCGUGUCGUGAGAUGUUGGGUUAAGUCCCGCAACGAGCGCAACCCUUAUCUUCAGUUGCUACCAUUUAGUUGAGCACUCUGACGAAACCGCCUCGGAUAACGGGGAGGAAGGUGGGGAUGACGUCAAGUCCUCAUGGCCUUUAUGUCCAGGGCUACACACGUGCUACAAUGGCCGGUACAAACCGUCGCAAACCCGCGAGGGGGAGCUAAUCGGAAAAAGCCGGCCUCAGUUCGGAUUACAGUCUGCAACUCGACUGUAUGAAGCUGGAAUCGCUAGUAAUCGCGGAUCAGAAUGCCGCGGUGAAUACGUUCCCGGGCCUUGUACACACCGUAGAGAC